AUGCAGCCAUGCCGCGUGUGUGAAGAAGGCCUUCGGGUUGUAAAGCACUUUCAGUCGUGAGGAAGGUGGUGUAGUUAAUAGCUGCAUCAUUUGACGUUAGCGACAGAAGAAGCACCGGCUAACUCCGUGCCAGCAGCCGCGGUAAUACGGAGGGUGCGAGCGUUAAUCGGAAUUACUGGGCGUAAAGCGCAUGCAGGUGGUUUGUUAAGUCAGAUGUGAAAGCCCGGGGCUCAACCUCGGAAUAGCAUUUGAAACUGGCAGACUAGAGUACUGUAGAGGGGGGUAGAAUUUCAGGUGUAGCGGUGAAAUGCGUAGAGAUCUGAAGGAAUACCGGUGGCGAAGGCGGCCCCCUGGACAGAUACUGACACUCAGAUGCGAAAGCGUGGGGAGCAAACAGGAUUAGAUACCCUGGUAGUCCACGCCGUAACGAUGUYUACUUGGAGGUUGUGGCCUUGAGCCGUGGCUUUCGGAGCUAACGCGUUAAGUAGACCGCCUGGG
rnacentral:rRNA from 1 species